AGUACCUCAGAUGGAAAUGCAGAAAUCACCCGUCUUCUGCGUCGCUCACGCUGGGAGCUGUAGACCGGAGCUGUUGCUAUUCGGCCAUCUUGGCUCCUCUCCUGGAAUGUGCCAUAUGUGGAGACCUGCAUGGAAAGGAACUGAGGAUGCUCUCUCACUAAAAGCUAGAAGGAACUGAGGCCCUCAGUCAACAGUCUACAAGACACUGAAUCUUGCCAGCAGCCAAGCAGUGAGCUUGAAAGCAGAUCUAUCAUCAGCUGAACCUUCAGAUGAGACCGCAGCCUAAGCAGAUACCUUGGUUGCAGCCAUGUGAGACAACCUGAAACAGAGGGCACAGCUAAGCCUCAGCCAGGUUCAUGACCCUCUGAGGAAACUGUGAGAAAGCAAAUGUCAUUUUAAGCUAUUUAAUUUUGGAGGUAGUUUAUUACACAACAAUAAAUAACUAUUAUAAUUAUCUUGAGGAUUUAUUUCCUGGGGAGAAUACAUGGAAUUGCAUAUAUAGGUCCUCAUAUGCAGAAUACUGGUACCCUAGAGAUGUUCACCCCAGAGAUGUUUUAGGAACCUGUGAAUAUGUUACAUUAAAUGGCAAAGUUUUCCUGGAUGGUUUAAGUUUAAGAUGGAAAAGUUUUACUGGAUUAUCCAGUGGGUCCAAUCUAGUAACAUGAGUCCUUAAAAAUGGAGAAUAUUUUUUGGCCAUGAUCAGAGAGACAUGUGAUGAUGGAAAAAGUGUCAGAGAUGCAAUGUGAGGGGACUAAAACUGCUGUUGCUGACUUUAAAGAUGGAGAGAGGGGAACCCGAGUCAAGGAAUGCAAAUGGCCUCUGGAAGCUGGAAAAAGCAAGAAAUGGAUUCUCCUUUAGAGCCUGUGGAAUAAAAUGCAGUCAUGCUGACACCUUGAUUUUACCUCAGUGAGACCAAUACUGGAGUAUGACCUUCGGAGCUGAAUAAAAUUAUACGUACACAUCUUAAUUUCUUGGGAUUUGAUUACUUCUUCUGCUUUGAAAUUAGACCAAGUUUAGCCUGCCUUUGCUAUUUUGGCGUAUCUCCAAUUCUUCAUGAUUUUCUCAUAUUCUUAGGGAUUCUGAAAAACACCUUACAGACCAUGUGAGAGGUAACGAGGAGGCUCUCCUGGACUGAACUGUGUCCCCUCCAAAUUCAUAUGUUGAGACCCAAACUUCCAAUGUGACUGUAUUUGGAGCUAGGGCCUUUAAGGAGUAAUUGACAUUAAAUGAGGUCACAGGGUUGGGACUCUAAUUUAAUAGGACUGGUGUCCUUAUGAGAAGAGAAAGAGGCACCAGGCACCAGGCAUGUGAGCCCACAGAGGAAAGGCUAUGAUGUGAAGACAGAGAGAAGGCCAUCACACACAAGCCAUGGAGAGAGGCCUCCCCAGAAACCAACCCCACCGACACCUUGAUCUCGGACUUCCAAGCUUCAGAACUGUGAGAAAAUAAAUUCCUAUUGUUUAAGCCACUCAGUCAGUGGAAUUCUGUUAUAGCAGCCCUAACAGACUAAUACGGAAGUCAAGUAGACAAGUCUGGUCUCUGUAUUUCUAUUGGAACUGGAUUUACUCUGCUCCUAUGAGUUAUCUCUAUGGGAGUUUGAUAUAAAUUGUUAAAAAAUUGAAGCAGAUAAACAUGAAAUUGUAGAGCAAUUUAACCAGGUGUUGUAAUGGAAACAUUUCUUCCUGAUGCUGGCCCCAUGUUGUGUUUAUAAGUGGAAAGUUUCUUCCUCUCCAAGUCCACAGGACUCCUUUCCUUUCUAAGUACUCUACGUGGCUGGCCACAUCAUUAAAAUAUGAGUUAUUUUGAUGGCAGAGAGAAGAUAUCACUUAUCUUUGUGACUUCUCCUUCCCCUGUCUCUUCCACCCCUUUCGGCCAAUGGCAUACUUAGUCAUGUGUACUUAGUAAUGUUAAAUAUGUAAGUAAAUUUGACCUAUUGAAGAAUGGCCUCUAUAGCCUCCUAGACAACAUAUAAACCUAUAUUGUAAAUCUUCUAGUAACAGAAAGCAGAAUAGAAUACAAGUUUUUUACAAAUCU
ensembl:lncRNA LINC01748 long intergenic non-protein coding RNA 1748